AUAUUAUAUGCAAUAAAACACACGUAAACCUUGAACAUGUAUGGUUAUUUAAAGAGACGCCACAAACCAUUCAAACACUAUAAAGUCGCGCAAGGUUUCGCGGUCUCAUUUGCGGAUAGUGUAAAUCCUGACCAGACUGGGCGUAUGCAGUUGAUACUCGUUUUAGAUUCAUUUCAUCGUGACUCAGAAAACUACAAUGAUGGUGCUCAGUUAGCUGCGACUGGAAGGCUGCUGAGCAUCUCGUAUUGUCGACUGUGAUGUCGUAUUCAAAAUAUAUUGACUCGUAACGGCAAUCGAAAUGAAGAUUGGGCUCAUACUAUUAAUAAUUUUGGCGCUUUUUGACGUGGUGAUAUGUGUUGCACCAACUUAUUUGCCAAAGAAAACUUUGAAUCAGAGAUCUGAACUUAUUAUUGAAUAUUUCAAACUUUUGGUAAUUCAAACACACCUUGAUCGAAUUGCUCGAAAUUGGAAUACUCAAACGAUUAGACCCCAAAAGAAUAACGAGCUCAAUUAUGGACAACCUGACGUAAUGUUCCAUUUACCAGAAUUAUUUGAUAGCCAAGAUUUCGGCACAAAUGUUGAUAUACAAGACGUAAUUUGCUGUCAACGAAUGUACUCCAUUCCGAACAACAAAAAUAAAGACUUUAAAGAAUUGGCUCAACUCCUGAUACCGGGUUUGCAAAUGCCACAUGACGCUGAUACUGCCUGCACCCAACGGUCUGCCAUCCAGAGGAGAAACCGAUACUCAUGUGAUAACAUGCUAGGAAGAUAAACAGCGGCAGCCUUUUUUUAAGGAACUCAUACAAACUAUCGUCAUAUAAAAUGACAGUGAUUUGGUUCUUUUCUGUAAAAUUAUGAUAUUAUUCUUAUGUUGAUAUACACAACAUUUGUUAAUGUCAUCGUCUCAAAUUCAAUAAAAUGGCUGAAUGUUA